CCGUACAGCCGGGGAGUUAGCGGCACCCUGUACCAGCAAUCCGCUACAGCUGGGGUGAUGUCCUGCCGCGGGCUGAUUUAUGCAGAGCUGCCCCUGAUAAGUGAUAUUGACGUUUGGGUCUUACGCAAUGGGAAUCCGUGAAUCGUGUCAGGUCAGGAAUGGAGCAGCACUAAGCGGAACCUCUCAUGUGACGUGAGGGUGCCUGGGCCGAGUUAACUGUCAGGGUAACGUCUGUGUAACAGGUUCAAAGCAGGACGUACGG
rnacentral:SRP_RNA from 1 species